UACGUAGGGUGCAAGCGUUAAUCGGAAUUACUGGGCGUAAAGCGUGCGCAGGCGGUUAUGUAAGACAGGUGUGAAAUCCCCGGGCUUAACCUGGGAACUGCAUUUGUGACUGCAUAGCUAGAGUACGGUAGAGGGGGAUGGAAUUCCGCGUGUAGCAGUGAAAUGCGUAGAUAUGCGGAGGAACACCGAUGGCGAGGGCAAUCCCCGUGGGCCUGCACUGACGCUCAUGCACGAAAGCGUGGGGAGCAAACAGG
rnacentral:rRNA from 1 species